rnacentral:rRNA from 1 species
ACCAGAAAUUCGCGGGAGUUAAUACAUGACUUCGCGAGCGUCUUCCGGGAAACCAAAGAUAUGUUCCGGGGGUAGUAUGGUUGCAAAGCUGAAACUUAAAGGAAUUGACGGAAGGGCACCACCAGGAGUGGAGCCUGCGGCUUAAUUUGACUCAACGCGGGGAAACUUACCCGGCCCGGACACCGUAAGGAUUGACAGAUUGAGAGCUCUUUCUUGAUUCGGUGGGUGGUGGUGCAUGGCCGUUCUUAGUUGGUGGAGCGAUUUGUCUGGUUAAUUCCGAUAACGAACGAGACUCUAGCCUAUUAAAUAGUCGGUAAAUCCUUUGUUUACUGUACUUCUUAGAGGGACAGAAGGCGUCUAGCCUUACGAGAUUGAGCAAUAACAGGUCUGUGAUGCCCUUAGAUGUUCGGGGCUGCACGCGCGCUACACUGAAGGAUUCAACGUGAUUUUUCACCUGUUCUGGAAAGAAUGGGUAACCCGUUGAAACUCCUUC